rnacentral:tRNA from 1 species
CCUUCGAUAGCUCAGUUGGUAGAGCGGAGGACUGUAGAUGCUUAGGUUGCUGGUUCGACUCCGGCUCGAAGGA